rnacentral:snRNA from 2 species
GUGCUUGCUUCGGCAGCACAUGUACUAAAAUUGGAACAAUACAGAGAAGAUUAGCUUGGUCCCUGUGCAAGGAUGACACACAAAUAUAUUUCU